rnacentral:rRNA from 1 species
UACGGGGGGGGCAAGCGUUGUUCGGAAUUACUGGGCGUAAAGGGCUCGUAGGCGGCCAACUAAGUCGGACGUGAAAUCCCUCGGCUUAACCGGGGAACUGCGGCCGAUACUGGCUGGCUUGAGUUCGGGAGAGGGAUGCGGAAUUCCAGGUGUAGCGGUGAAAUGCGUAGAUAUCUGGAGGAACACCGGUGGCGAAGGCGGCAUCCUGGACCGACACUGACGCUGAGGAGCGAAAGCCAGGGGAGCAAACGGG